GACGAGAAAGUCUCCUUCGGGGGGCGAGUAAAGUGGCGCAAGGGUGAGUAACACGUGAAUAAUCUACCACCGAAUCUGGGAUAACUCAGCGAAAGUUGGGCUAAUACCAGAUAAGACCACGUCUCUCAUGAGAUGCGGGAAAAGGAGCCCCAACCUCCGUUUGGUGAUGAGUUCGCGGACCAUUAGCUAGUUGGUGAGAUAAAAGCUCACCAAGGCGACGAUGGUUAGCCGGCCUGAGAGGGUGAUCGGCCACACUGGAACUGAGACACGGUCCAGACUCCUACGGGAGGCAGCAGUGGGGAAUAUUGCGCAAUGGGCGAAAGCCUGACGCAGCAACGCCGCGUGAGGGAUGAAGGCUUUCGGGUCGUAAACCUCUGUCGAAUGGGAAGAAAUCUUGACGGUACCAUUAAAGGAAGCCCCGGCUAACUUCGUGCCAGCAGCCGCGGUAAUACGAAGGGGGCAAGCGUUGUUCGGAAUCAUUGGGCGUAAAGCGUAUGUAGGCGGCUGGUCAAGUCAGACGUGUAAGCCCACGGCUCAACCGUGGAAUUGCGUUUGAAACUGCCCAGCUUGAGUUCAGGAGAGGAAAGCGGAAUUCCCAGUGUAGCGGUGAAAUGCAUUGAUAUUGGGAAGAACAUCGGUGGCGAAGGCGGCUUUCUGGCCUGAAACUGACGCUGAGACACGAAAGCCAGGGGAGCAAACGGGAUUAGAUACCCCGGUAGUCCUGGCUGUAAACGAUGGGUACUAGGUGUAGGGGGUAUCGAUCCCCUCUGUGUCGUAGCUAACGCAUUAAGUACCCCGCCU
rnacentral:rRNA from 1 species